rnacentral:rRNA from 1 species
CACGUAGGGCGCAAGCGUUGUCCGGAAUUACUGGGCGUAAAGCGUGCGCAGGCGGUUAUGCAAGACAGAUGUGAAAUCCCCGGGCUCAACCUGGGAACUGCAUUUGUGACUGCAUAGCUGGAGUGCGGCAGAGGGGGAUGGAAUUCCGCGUGUAGCAGUGAAAUGCGUAGAGAUGCGGAGGAACACCGAUGGCGAAGGCAGCCCCCUGGGUCGACACUGACGCUCAGGCACGAAAGCGUGGGGAGCAAACAGG